rnacentral:rRNA from 1 species
UCCUGUACUUGGUGUUACUGCGAAGGGGGGACGGAGAAGGCUAUGUUGGCCGGGCGACGGUUGUCCCGGUUUAAGCGUGUAGGCUGGUUUUCCAGGCAAAUCCGGAAAAUCAAGGCUGAGGCGUGAUGACGAGGCACUACGGUGCUGAAGCAACAAAUGCCCUGCUUCCAGGAAAAGCCUCUAAGCAUCAGGUAACAUCAAAUCGUACCCCAAACCGACACAGGUGGUCAGGUAGAGAAUACCAAGGCGCUUGAGAGAACUCGGGUGAAGGAACUAGGCAAAAUGGUGCCGUAACUUCGGGAGAAGGCACGCUGAUAUGUAGGUGAAGCGACUUGCUCGUGGAGCUGAAAUCAGUCGAAGAUACCAGCUGGCUGCAACUGUUUAUUAAAAACACAGCACUGUGCAAACACGAAAGUGGACGUAUACGGUGUGACGCCUGCCCGGUGC